GAAUUUUGACGGGAAAGUGUUAAAAUCAAGCUUUGUAUUAUUUAUAGUAUAUAAAUAAUACGUAUAAGUUAUAAUAGAAGAGUUAAUCGAUUUAGUUAUGGACUAAAUUGUACGAAAGAAAAGUUAGAAAGAUAAAUUGUAACAAGGAAGGAAAGGAAGGACUAAAACAGACGUUUAGCCAUGUAUAUAUAAGAGAAAACCUUUGAAUGAAGGAUGUAUCAGAGGUAAGAAUCCAGAAGCUUGAAGUUUUCCACCGAUUACUUCGUUUCUUCACGGUUUCUUCGUUCGACGUCCGAAUCAAGCGGUUUUCGCGUCGAUUUCUUCGAAAUUGAAAGCUCUAUCAUCUCCAAGCUUCAAAUCAAGACGUACGACCGAGCGGUGAGGGCACUAGGGGUGUACUAGCACGAGCAUAUUACCACAUCGACCAUAUUUGUGAUUGGAUUGCGGUCACUGUGCUUAGUUUCUGGACUUAGCUAGAGGCCAAUUUUGAAGUCCAGAAGUCAGCUGUAUAUGUUAGUCUCUGACUUCUGUGAGUGCUGCAGUAGUGGUCCUUUGUCGAUAGUAUUGUAGCCUAGACAGCAGUUCAUUUUGAUUGUAUAUAUUAACUGCUGUUAUUGUUUUAUAUGCAUUUUGAUAGGCUACGUGUUUAGUAUAUGAUCCACGGCCCCAGGUGCCGGUGAGAUGUUUGGAACACUAACUGAUGUAUAUAGUACCGCGAGGCCAGUUCGUACAGGGUACGGUAACUAGAGCCCGCGAGGUUUUGAAACAGUUAGUGUAUAUAUUUGGGUAUAUGUUAUGUAUAUGUAUAUCUGCUUC